CCCCGAGAUCAUCUCCAAGAUCAUGGCUGGCCUCGAUCUGGAUUACAAUCCAGUUGUGUCCGCUCUGUCUGCUAGGGUUGAGCCAGUUUCGGUUCAGGAGCUAUACAGCCAGCUCCUGAGUUUCGA